GUUUCUUUUAUUUCAAGGUUCAUGUUUAAAUGUAUUUUUUUUUCAAAAAAUAAAAAAACAUAUCAUUUCUCAACACACAUAUUCAUAAAAAGAUUUAAGGGUGUGUUGAUGACUAUUGAACCCGUAUAUUAUUGUUGCUUUUGAUUGUAAUUUAAAUUUUCCUACCCGGGUAUCUACCCGGGGAAUAACCUAGUUAUUAAUCUAUACAUAUAAUAAAGUAAACUAAUGUGUGACACGUGUCAUUCGUUGGAGACACCUAUCUUUGGAAAAAAUGUUUAUCUGAUAAUUAUAACCCUUUUAUUGAAAUUUGAAAAGGGUUUCAUGCUUUUUUGUAAUACAUGACUACAUUAUGUGUAUAGAUAAGCUUGAAUAUAUAUGUCAAAAUUAAUAAUUAUUCUUCAAAAAUUUAGUAAAAUCUAUACUCUAUAUAUACAUUUAGAAAAAUGUUAAUAAUUGCAAAUAAUACUAAAUAGAAAAAUGUUAAUUGAAUACAAAAAAAAUAUAGGAUAUCACAAAUGUAUAUCGAUUACUUAAAUGAGUAUACACAUGCAUGGGCGGUGAUAAGGGUGUGCGGGGAGGACCACUGCACAGGGUCCCUAAUUUCGAGGGGUAUGUGUAUUUUAUAAAAAAAAUCCGAUAUCUAUGCUAAUUUUUUUAAAUAGCAUAACAAACAUGCUCUUAAUGAGCCCAAUACCCAUUAGCAUUAGCUUUUGGGCAUGUUUGCCUAAGCUUUUUGAAACAAGUUAUUGACUUAUUGGCUUUUUGAAAAGUCAUAAGCUACAAAAUGAUGUUUCGCAAUAUGGGUGUAUGUGAGAGGAAAAAGUCAAUAAGUCACUCUAUAUUGACUUUUCCAAAACGCCAAUAAGUCUAUAAGUUUUUUCAAAAAACAUAACCAAACAUGCUCUUAGACCAUGUGUAGUGGUUAAACAAAAUAAUGCCCCCACCAUGGGGCAUUAUUCGACACGUGGCAGUCCAGUCAGCAUGGGGCGUUAUUGCAAAAGUGGCGGCGUAGUGGGAAUAAUGCAUGAUAAUGCCCCUUCCAAUC
rnacentral:lncRNA from 1 species